UGUUUGAUGUUCUAACGUGGACCCGUGAUCCGGGUUGCGGACAGUGUCUGGUGGGUAGUUUGACUGGGGCGGUCUCCUCCUAAAGAGUAACGGAGGAGCACGAAGGUUGGCUAAUCCUGGUCGGACAUCAGGAGGUUAGUGCAAUGGCAUAAGCCAGCUUGACUGCGAGCGUGACGGCGCGAGCAGGUGCGAAAGCAGGUCAUAGUGAUCCGGUGGUUCUGAAUGGAAGGGCCAUCGCUCAACGGAUAAAAGGUACUCCGGGGAUAACAGGCUGAUACCGCCCAAGAGUUCAUAUCGACGGCGGUGUUUGGCACCUCGAUGUCGGCUCAUCACAUCCUGGGGCUGAAGUAGGUCCCAAGGGUAUGGCUGUUCGCCAUUUAAAGUGGUACGCGAGCUGGGUUUAGAACGUCGUGAGACAGUUCGGUCCCUAUCUGCCGUGGGCGCUGGAGAACUGAGGGGGGCUGCUCCUAGUACGAGAGGACCGGAGUGGACGCAUCACUGGUGUUCGGGUUGUCAUGCCAAUGGCACUGCCCGGUAGCUAAAUGCGGAAGAGAUAAGUGCUGAAAGCAUCUAAGCACGAAACUUGCCCCGAGAUGAGUUCUCCCUGAGACUU
rnacentral:rRNA from 2 species